UGGGGAAUAUUGGACAAUGGGGGAAACCCUGAUCCAGCAAUGCCGCGUGAGUGAAGAAGGCCUUAGGGUUGUAAAACUCUUUCAGUUGGGAAGAUUAUGACGGUACCAACAGAAGAAGCACCGGCUAACUCCGUGCCAGCAGCCGCGGUAAUACGGAGGGUGCUAGCGUUAUUCGGAAUUACUGGGCGUAAAGGGCGCGUAGGCGGCCUGUUAAGUCAGAUGUGAAAGCCCUGGGCUCAACCCAGGAAUUGCAUUUGAUACUGGCAGGCUAGAGUUCAAGAGGGGUGAGUGGAAUUCCUAGUGUAGAGGUGAAAUUCGUAGAUAUUAGGAAGAACAUCGGUGGCGAAGGCGACUCACUGGAUUGAUACUGACGCUGAGGCGCGAAAGCGUGGGGAGCAAACAGG
rnacentral:rRNA from 1 species